CCUCUGGCUCUGGGUAUCCUGACAACAAAGCGAGAGAUGGAACAACAGCAAGUGAGAUCCAAAGCGAUGGGAGGAGACACAGAGAGGCAAGGGCCGGACAGUACCAGUGCCCAGGCCUGGUCACAGCUCAGCUUCAGAAAGAAGGAUCUGUCAAAGCAGAAAGCAUUUCCCCUUCUGACUGGAAGGAAGAGAACUGGUUUUUACACUGGGGACCAGACUCAGCUCUUCAUGCUUGCAGGGAAAGCACUUUAUCGGCUGAGCCAUUCCUCUACACCUGGAAAUAUAGUUCUGAAGGACUGGCUCUAGCUGAUCAAGAAGCAGCAAGGACCCUGCUGUUGUGAUCUCUGGCCCAGCCCUCUCCUCUCAACUCCUGACCUGCACAUUGACUUCAUAUCUGCACUGGAAGGCCUAACAAGCAACAGACAACAGACUCCUUAUCCUUAUCCCAAGCUGAUUGACACAGCUCAAACACAGUGCCAUGCGACACAUUGAGCUUGCUAAUUUGUGUGCGCCCUAUCUGUUAAGGAAUGCACACCGUGGGACAUCAGCUCCAUGGCAGAGGGGACUUAUCAGUGUUCCACACUGCUGCGUCCCCAGUUCCGAGAAUAGAGCCCGGUAAUGCAAUCCACAAUAAAUAAAUAUUCACCGAUGAACACAUCGACAGUACGAAGAGUCUGGUCCAGAGAAGGAAGUGAGCCUCUUGGCUGGGGAUUUGGUCUGGGAUGGAGUAACACUGAAGACACGGGUGCAUCACCUGCACCUCCCCUUCCCCCCACUAAUCAGGACAGGACGCUGUAAGCUUAGCUCCUUGGCCAUCCCUCCUACUAGACCCCAGACCCACGUGGGCAGGAGCCAUCCUUUGCUCACUGCCUUAUCUCUAUCACCUGCACCAGUGUCUGCAUAGUGGUUACUCCAUAACAUGGGCAAGGAAAGGAGUGAGGCGGGAGGAAGCAAACACAAGGUGGUUGGGGAGGGCAAGGCUGACACGGGAACCCCAGCCAAGGCACACAAGGAAGAGCAAAGGGCAAGCUAGGGAACUCAAACACCAGAGGGGAGCAGGGGAGGCAGGGCUACAGCUGGCUCAGCCAGGAACAAACUGGGCCAGGCUGGCUGUAAACCGAGCCCUGUGUUUCCACUGUGCGCUAAAGCCCUUGGUUACAUCACUGUGCAUGUGGCCAGGGCCAGCGCAGGUGCUCUCACCAUCUUGUGGGAUGAUCUCACCCACCAGGGCCUUGGAGCCUUCUGCCUCAUGACCUGCCCGGGACACCCUCAGCCUCCAGUCCAGAGAGGCCGGAGCGGGACAAAGGCAUGGUGCAAGGAGGAGAAGAACACUGAGUGGCCUACACAGCUGCGGCCUCCCCCACAGGACCUCCUUGUGAUUCUGCCAAUAGUGGGGAUCAAGCUGUCAAUUCAGGGCUUCAUAGCAAGAAUGGCUUUGAAAACAAGCUUGUUUGGGGAACAUGCUGCUUAUUUCCUGGAUAAUGUGAACUAUAUUAUAUAAAUACUCAAAAGCCAGAGAGAGAUAGGUCCUUAACUCAGCGUCACACGUACUUCUACACAUGUUACACACACACAAAC
rnacentral:sRNA from 1 species